CCAGUGGCCGGAAGAGCACCGCACGUCGCGCGGUGUCCGGUGCGCCCCCGGCGGCCCAUGAAAAUCCGGAGGACCGAGUACCGUUCACGCCCGGUCGUACUCAUAACCGACACAGGUCUCCAAGGUGAACAGCCUCUGGCCAAUGGAACAAUGUAGGCAAGGGAAGUCGGCAAAACGGAUCCGUAACUUCGGGAAAAGGAUUGGCUCUGAGGACUGGGCUCGGGGGUCCCGGCCCCGAACCCG
rnacentral:ncRNA from 1 species